UCAACAUGGCUUCUGUGCUACGAUCUCUCGAUUUAGCUGCAAGUCCAAAAUCGUUGGUGUCUUAUCAAAGUGAUUCUUCUGAUGAAGAGAGAAGUAAUAAUGAUAAAUCUAAAGAAGAUGAAAAUCGAGAGCACUGUCAAUAUGGAUGCUCUAAAAUCUAAGUUUUUUUUAAACAGCGCGCCAAUUGUUGAUGCUAAGGAAAGAAUUGAUUGGAGAAGACACAACGAUCCAAAAUGAAAGAAGUUACAUUUAAUGCAAAGUAUGACAAACUCUUUUCUGCUUCGAUUGGACCGCAAAAUCCAUUUAAAACGAAGCAGCAAAGAGCACAUAAAAAUAUGUUGUCUGGUUAUGUUGAGCCAGCUCAUAUCAGUAAAUUUCAAUUUGAUAAUCAACUAAAAACAUUCUCAAGUUAUGAAAUCACAAGUUAUGCAUUAGAUCCAAGUGAUGACACAGCUCACAUUGAAGAGAAAUUUUUUGGGGAGGUUGAGAAAACAAAGGAUAGCAAGGGAUAGACUGUGUUUGAAGCUACAAAGCAGCAGGCGGGAGAUAAGAGGAAAAGAUAGGAUAGGGGAGAUCCUGGUGUGAUUGAUGGAUACAAUGGACCAUGGAGUAAUUUGCUGAUAAAGAAACUAUUGCUAAACCAUCUGAGGAAGAGUCGACAAUACUUGAGGAGUAUGAAUUAUCGAAGAAAAACAAAUCAAAGAAAGAUGAUAUGAAACCUUCAGAAGAGAAAUCCACAUUACACAUUAAAGAUGCAUAUGACUAUUAAGGAAGAUCAUAUCUUCACAUUCCACAAGAUCUUGGAAUUAAUCUCAAGUCAGAUACUCCUCCAGAACCUUGUUUUCUACUGUAAUUUCACAUUACAGUAUUCAUCAUCCAAAUAUAUACUUAAAAUAUGAGCGUUUUUUUAAUACGAUGCUUCUGUUUGAGUCAAGACGUUUAGGUCUGGUCACACUAAAUGUGUUUCUGCAAUAAGAUUCUUUGCGAAAUCUGCUCAUCUUCUUCUGUCGUGUAGCAUGGAUUGUAAA